CAAGUCGAACGGAAUCCAUGGUGUAGCAAUACACCGGAAGAUUUAGUGGCGAACGGGUGAGGAUCACGUGAGAAACGUGCCCCAGACUCUGGGAUAACAAUUGGAAACGAUUGCUAAUACCGGAUGACGUCGGAGAAUCGCAUGAUUCACUGACGAAAGAUAUUUCGGUUUGGGAGCGUCUCGCGGCCUAUCAGCUUGUUGGUGGGGUAAUGGCCUACCAAGGCAACGACGGGUAGCUGGUCUGAGAGGAUGAUCAGCCACACUGGGACUGAGACACGGCCCAGACUCCUACGGGAGGCAGCAGUGGGGAAUCUUGCGCAAUGGGCGAAAGCCUGACGCAGCAACGCCGCGUGCGGGAUGAAGGCCUUCGGGCUGUAAACCGCUUUCAGCAGGAACGAAAAUGACGGUACCUGCAGAAGAAGGAGCGGCCAACUACGUGCCAGCAGCCGCGGUGACACGUAGGCUCCAAGCGUUGUCCGGAUUUAUUGGGCGUAAAGAGCUCGUAGGCGGUUGAGUAAGUCGGGUGUGAAAACUCUGGGCUUAACCCGGAGACGCCAUCCGAUACUGCUCUGACUAGAGUUCAGGAGGGGAGUGGGGAAUUCCUAGUGUAGCGGUGAAAUGCGCAGAUAUUAGGAGGAACACCGGUGGCGAAGGCGCCACUCUGGACUGAAACUGACGCUGAGGAGCGAAAGCAUGGGUAGCAAACAGGAUUAGAUACCCUGGUAGUCCAUGCCGUAAACGGUGGGCACUAGGUGUGGGUUCCAACUAACGGGAUCCGCGCCGUCGCUAACGCAUUAAGUGCCCCGCCUGGGGAGUACGGUCGCAAGACUAAAACUCAAAGGAAUUGACGG
rnacentral:rRNA from 1 species